GUAAUCAAAAGUUCGUUAAUUGCGAACCAGUAUGAAAGGAUCAAUACUCAGCAGCUUUCUUUGAAAAAUAAAAGAAAUUAAAAAACUAAAAAAUAAUGUUUAUUGAAUAUAAGACGAGAAGACCCUGGGAGCUAUAAUUGUAAAAAUUUUAUUUGGGGAAAAUAAAAGAUAGAUUUCUCUCUCUUUAAUAAUGUAAAAACUUAAAAAUAAGCUACCCCAGGGAUAACAGAGCAAUGAAAAAUAAUAGACCAAAUAAAAUUUUUAGAUUGCGACCUCGAUGUUGGAUUAUGAAAGCUGGGAGGGGCAGCCCUUUCCAAAGUUUAAACUGUUCGUUUUUCCAAAUCAU
rnacentral:rRNA from 1 species